rnacentral:tRNA from 1 species
GUAUUGGGAGCUGAGAGGUAAAGCACUCGGCUUCCAAACCAGGGGCCUUGGGUUUGAAUCCUGGUGAAGACU